rnacentral:lncRNA from 1 species
CUCAGCGUGCUCACGAGGAAGCGGGUGACUCUGCUGGGACGUGACUGAGGAAUGGGUGACAUAAGCAAAAAGCUUCACUGUGGCUGGGAGGCACUGAGCCCAGAUCUGAGCGAAUCCACAGCUGAGAGGCGAUCCCGGGUGAUCUGGAUUGGAUGAGAGACACAUGAGGUCCCCUCCAGCUUCAAUUGCUCCCUAUCUUCACGAGCAUUCAUCUUUGGGACGCUGCGUUACCUUUGCCUCCAUCUCACAAGUGGGUAAACUGAGGCAGGAAGAGCCACUCAGAGGCAGGAACAGAGACCAGCCCGCCACGUG